UACGUAGGGUGCAAGCGUUAUCCGGAAUUAUUGGGCGUAAAGAGCUCGUAGGCGGUUUGUCGCGUCUGCCGUGAAAGUCCGGGGCUCAACUCCGGAUCUGCGGUGGGUACGGGCAGACUAGAGUGAUGUAGGGGGAGACUGGAAUUCCUGGUGUAGCGGUGAAAUGCGCAGAUAUCAGGAGGAAUACCGAUGGCGAAGGCAGGUCUCUGGGCUGACACUGACGCUCAUGCACGAAAGCGUGGGGAGCGAACAGG
rnacentral:rRNA from 1 species